rnacentral:tRNA from 2 species
UGGGGUAUAGCCAAGUCGGUAAGGCACAAGACUUUGACUCUUGCAUUCCACAGGUUCGAGUCCUGUUACCCCAGCCA